UACGAAGGGUGCAAGCGUUACUCGGAAUUACUGGGCGUAAAGCGUGCGUAGGUGGUCGUUUAAGUCCGUUGUGAAAGCCCUGGGCUCAACCUGGGAACUGCAGUGGAUACUGGGCGACUAGAAUGUGGUAGAGGGUAGCGGAAUUCCUGGUGUAGCAGUGAAAUGCGUAGAGAUCAGGAGGAACAUCCAUGGCGAAGGCAGCUACCUGGACCAACAUUGACACUGAGGCACGAAAGCGUGGGGGAGCAAACAGGAUUAGAUACCCUGGUAGUCCACGCCCUAAACGAUGCGAACUGGAUGUUGGGUGCAAUUUGGCACGCAGUAUCGAAGCUAACGCGUUAAGUUCGCCGCCUGGGGAGUACGGUCGCAAGACUGAAACUC
rnacentral:rRNA from 1 species